GGACCAAUCGCCGCACGCCUAGCUCUCGCUUCUCCCUCGCACUCGCGCUCAGAUCUCAUUCACAGCCAGCAGGCCAGCCAUCCAUCUCGCUCUCUGUUUGGGGGCGUCUCAGCGAAAGCAACGGUAAAGACGGGCAUGAGUAGAGGCACAUUUGGAGGGGGAAUGUAAUGUUCCACGUUGGCAUGUUCCAGCUGGUCCUUUCCGUUCGGGGUUCCUGCCAGUCCUUCAUGAGGGGGGUUCCACUUUUACUUCCGGAAAUCAAAUUAGAUAUUCAAUGGAACGCAUAAUGCAAUCGACGCCCUCAAUUUAUAUGCCAACGAUUGCCCUCACCUGACCAGUUUCGCCGUGACUUCAAGAACUUCAAUCGGAGGUGGACCGAAAGCGAACCAAGUCAAGGAAGCUGCAAAGAGACUUUGAGGAUGGUAUUACAGGGACACUUUCAAGGUUAAUUAUGGAUAAAUAAGGUGAAGCUCCGCCCAUGCUGUGCACAUUCACGGAACCCCUACCCCUCCAGCCCAGUCGAAAACUCCGCCCCAAAUGGCUGAGAGAAGUACCAAAAUUUGACCACAAUACUUCGCUGCGUGGGCGUACCGAAUUGUGAAUUCGUUUUGCUCUUUUGGGUAAACUGUGCGGUUAAAGUAGAAAAACAGCCAACCAAACCAAUUGACCAUGUGAGCUGAAUCGAAAAACUAGCCAGGACAGAUGACCUUCGCGCAGAAGAGGACUCGUACUCGGACUCCCUACCAUGUGUCCUGGCUGUGGGUGUAGCGUUCUGGUUUUAGAAUUGGUCGCACCUUGCCGUAACCUUGAUGGAUUUGUUGACUUGGUGAUUGCCCCUCACCGGGUACGCUGUACGCUGUACGAGGAUGUGCGGUUUGGGUUUCUGGUCGCAGUUUUGGUCGCCGAUCUUCAUGGGCGCACAGCAAGGUGCACGCAGGGCCCAGGCAUGUUUGUGUUUCGCAGAACAACCGUAAAUAUUUUGGGUGAUUAUUUUAGAUAAUCUUCGACUAAUGUCCUUGGAUUGUUUCAUCUUCUUGCCGAGUUUUGCACAAACUACGUACAGACACAGACACUCUUAAAGUGCAAAGAUUUAGCGUUGCAAAUGGAAAAGCUCUAGGGGAUGUUCUAGCGAAAGGUUAAGACAUUAUCAAACUUUGGGAUAAUCUGCUCGAUAAUAAUUACUAG